rnacentral:misc_RNA from 1 species
GAUGAAGAACGUAGCGAAAUGCGAUACGUAAUGUGAAUUGCAGAAUUCAGUGAAUCAUCGAAUCUUUGAACGCAUAUUGCGCUCUCUGGUAUUCCGGAGAGCAUGCUUGUUUGAGUAUCAGUAAACACCUCAACUCCCUUUUCUUUAUUGAAAUUGGAGCUGGACUUGAGUGAUCCCAACGCUUUCUUCCAAGAAAGUGGCGGGUUGCUUGAAAUGCAGGUGCAGCUGAACUUUUCUCUGAGCUAUAAGCAUAUCUAUUUAGUCUGCCUAAAAAACAGAUUAUUACCUUUGCUGCAGCUAACAUAAAGGAGACUAGUUCUUGUGCUGACUGAUGCAGGAUUCACAGAGACAGCUUCGGCUGACUUUGUAAACUCGAUCUCAAAUCAAGUAAGACUACCCGCUGAACUUAAGCAUAUCAAUAAGCGGAGGA